rfam:Glomerella graminicola M1.001 genomic scaffold supercont1.29, whole genome shotgun sequence.
GCGCCGAUGGUUUAGUGGUAAAAUUCUCCGUUGCCAUCACGCAGCGUCGGGGAGCCGGGGGUUCGAUUCCCCCUCGGCGCA